rnacentral:rRNA from 1 species
UACGAAGGUCCCAAGCGUUAUCCGGAUUUAUUGGGUUUAAAGGGCGCGUAGGCGGGUUAUUAAGUCAGUGGUGAAAGCCUGCAGCUUAACUGCAGAAUUGCCAUUGAUACUGAUGAUCUUGAGUAUGAUUGAGGUGGGCGGAAUGUGUCAUGUAGCGGUGAAAUGCUUAGAUAUGACACAGAACACCGAUUGCGAAGGCAGCUCACUAAGUCAUAACUGACGCUGAUGCACGAAAGCGUGGGGAGCAAACAGG